AAAAUUCUGCCUUGUUGACUUCAGAAUCGUCAAGCACUUUAUGUGAAGCGUGCCCUUAAGCUAUCCUCUACAAGACCCAGAUUUGAGUGUCUGCAUGAUGAAGAUGUGAAAGAAGAAACUGAGCGAUAUUGAACAUCACAGGUGAGAUUGAUAAGGGUAAAGAAAGCACAUUAUGAUUACAAAUAAUAGUGUAAGAGAAAAGCCUGAACUGAUCUGUAUUUU
rnacentral:lncRNA from 1 species